rnacentral:rRNA from 1 species
UACGAAGGGGGCUAGCGUUGCUCGGAUUUACUGGGCGUAAAGCGCACGUAGGCGGUUUGUUAAGUCGGAGGUGAAAUCCCGGAGCUCAACUCCGGAACUGCCUUUGAUACUGGCAAGCUAGAGUCCGGAAGAGGUGAGUGGAACUCCUAGUGUAGAGGUGGAAUUCGUAGAUAUUAGGAAGAACACCAGUGGCGAAGGCGGCUCACUGGUCCGGUACUGACGCUGAGGUGCGAAAGCGUGGGGAGCAAACAGG